GCUUGUCUCAAAGAUUAAGCCAUGCAUGUGUUAGUAUAAACGCCUUUAUACUGUGAAACUGCGAACGGCUCAUUAUAUCAGUUAUAGUUUAUUUGAUACUUUUCGACUAUUGGAUAACCGUAGUAAUUCUAGAGCUAAUACAUGCGCCAAGUCCCGUCUCACGUCGGGAUGUAUUUAUUAGAUUUCAAUCAACACUUUUUGCUGACUCAUGAUAACUUAGCGGAUCGCAGAGGCCUCGCGCCGGCGCUAGUUCAUUCAAAUUUCUGCCCUAUCAGCUUUCGACGGUAGUGUAGUGGACUACCGUGGCGCUAACGGGUGACGGAGAAUUAGGGUUCGGUUCCGGAGAGGGAGCCUGAGAAACGGCUACCACAUCCAAGGAAGGCAGCAGG
rnacentral:rRNA from 1 species